rnacentral:tRNA from 1 species
UCCCUGGUGGCUCAGAUGGUAAAGCGUCUGUCUACAAUAUGGCAGACCCAGGUUCGAGCCCUGGGUUGGGAA